rnacentral:rRNA from 1 species
UACGGAGGGUGCAAGCGUUAUCCGGAUUCACUGGGUUUAAAGGGUGCGUAGGUGGGUUGGUAAGUCAGUGGUGAAAUCCCCGAGCUUAACUUGGGAACUGCCAUUGAUACUAUCAGUCUUGAAUACCGUGGAGGUCAGCGGAAUAUGUCAUGUAGCGGUGAAAUGCUUAGAUAUGACAUAGAACACCAAUUGCGAAGGCAGCUGGCUACACGGAUAUUGACUCUGAGGCACGAAAGCGUGGGGAUCAAACAGG